AAUUCUAUAAUAAUUAAAAUUCCUGAAUAAAACUGCUUCCUAUGCUGCAUCAUUCUUCUCUGGUUGGAAAAAGCUUGACCUCGAGUCUUGAAGUGUGAAAGGAUCAAAAACCACGCGAGGAGAGCACACAAUCUUGUUCCCUUGGAAGACAACAUCAAAAUUAAAACGAAGAACUUCACGCUUUCUUUUGCAUCUUUGGCAACACCAAAACAAAUAAAAUGAAAUAAAACAACAGUUGAAAGGUUCUUCAAAUCAAUAUGAACAACUGGAUUUUCUUCAAUUUUCAUUGAAAUUUUCACGGCUUGCGUAGCUUCAUUAGUUUCUUGCUUUAGAAUGGGCUCUUCAACAUGAGAAUGUUCAAUACUCUAAUCUUUGGAUUCUUUAGUCUGAUACUCUUCAAGCUUAGUUUCUCCAGGUUACUUUUUUUGGUUCCUCAUUAUCUUCUUCAAGCUACUUGUCGAAUUCUUCUUCUUGUUCAUCU
rnacentral:misc_RNA from 1 species